UACACUCCUGCGGGAGGCAGCAGUGGGGAAUAUUGCACAAUGGGCGCAAGCCUGAUGCAGCCAUGCCGCGUGUAUGAAGAAGGCCUUCGGGUUGUAAAGUACUUUCAGCGGGGAGGAAGGCAAUACGGUUAAUAACCGUGUUGAUUGACGUUACCCGCAGAAGAAGCACCGGCUAACUCCGUGCCAGCAGCCGCGGUAAUACGGAGGGUGCAAGCGGUAAUCGGAAUUACUGGGCGUAAAGCGCACGCAGGCGGUCUGUCAAGUCGGAUGUGAAAUCCCCGGGCUCAACCUGGGAACUGCAUUCGAAACUGGCAGGCUUGAGUCUUGUAGAGGGGGGUAGAAUUCCAGGUGUAGCGGUGAAAUGCGUAGAGAUCUGGAGGAAUACCGGUGGCGAAGGCGGCCCCCUGGACAAAGACUGACGCUCAGGGGCGAAAGCGUGGGGAGCAAACAGGAUUAGAUACCCGGGUAGUCCCA
rnacentral:rRNA from 1 species